GAUGAAGAACGCAGCGAAAUGCGAUAAGUAAUGUGAAUUGCAGAAUUCAGUGAAUCAUCGAAUCUUUGAACGCACAUUGCGCCCGCCAGUAUUCUGGCGGGCAUGCCUGUUCGAGCGUCAUUUCAACCAUCAAGCCCCCGGCUUGUGUUGGGGACCUGCGGCUGCCGCAGGCCCUGAAAACCAGUGGCGGGCUCGCUAGUCACUCCGAGCGUAGUAAUACAUCUCGCUCAGGGCGUGCUGCGGGUUCCGGCCGUUAAAAAGCCUUAUUUACCCAAGGUUGACCUCGGAUCAGGUAGGAAGACCCGCUGAACUUAAGCAUAUCAAUAAGCGGCGGA
rnacentral:misc_RNA from 1 species